CAGCAGCAGCCGCGGGAAUACGGAGGAUCCAAGCGUUAUCCGGAAUCAUUGGGUUUAAAGGGUCCGUAGGCGGUCUUGUAAGUCAGUGGUGAAAGCCCAUCGCUCAACGGUGGAACGGCCAUUGAUACUGCAGGACUUGAAUUAUUGGGAAGUAACUAGAAUAUGUAGUGUAGCGGUGAAAUGCUUAGAGAUUACAUGGAAUACCAAUUGCGAAGGCAGGUUACUACCAAUUGAUUGACGCUGAUGGACGAAAGCGUGGGUAGCGAACAGGAUUAGAUACCCCUGUAGUCCCUGUCUCUUAUAC
rnacentral:rRNA from 1 species